UGACCUCAGACGAACAUUCGUGUAAAAAAUGGAUUGAAAUGGACAAUCUUAAAAUUUUGGGCUAUGGACUUAUUGAAGACAACUGUAUGGAGAUAAACAGAAACACAGAGGUGCUAUACAUUCUGAUGGAAAAGACAACAAAAGCAUCUCCCAUCAUUUUGGCGUGGCUCAGAUCAAGAGGAGAAAUUUAAAAAAGGUGAUGGUUGGGCACACACAAGAAGACAUAGAUCACAGGCGUAUAGCAUAUGAGUAGACAGGAGUUUCACACUCUGCCAGACUUACUUCCUCAGACGAGCAGAUUUAGGCUUCUCAAGAUCACGCACUGCACACUAAGACAUAGUCUUUGACUACAACAAGGCCUUAGGGGAUGAAAGUACAGAGAGGUCCAAUUGAAAUCAAUUCUGUGCUGCAUCAUUUCUUUAUUCUAGAGGUUGAUGGACAUGAUUUAUGGCAUCAAGUGUGCAGUUUGUCAACUAACUAUCAACACAGCAGUCUUGUUCACCAGCUGCUCAACUUGAGCUUUUAGCUUUAUUGCUUGAAGCCACUGUAUAAGAGGAGGGAAGGUGCAGACUCAUCAAAAAGUCUCAAGGUUGAAACUAGGAAGAGAAGUUUGUCAAGAGUGUGAAUAUUUGCUUUGAAAACAAUUGUUACAAUGAUUUGGUUUCCUUUGAAACUUGAUACAUACUAUGUGUAUGUUGAAUGAAUUGAGAUGCUUAAAUAAAGAACCACUAUUCAAAUAUCAGGAAACUGCAUUUUUCAUACUAAAUUGGUAAAUGAUGUCACCAUUUCCUGUAUGUAUUUAAAUAAGAUAUGUUUCCACAAUUAAUAUUUUUAGGGACUAUUUCUCAACGUAAUGAAAUAGAUUAAAUUUGUACAGCGUUAUAUGAGCUUAAUAUGUGUUUUCUGUUUCCUUAAAAUUGAUGAAAAAUUGUCAGAAGGUAAUGAGACCAGUAUCCAUUACUGCAAUCAUACAAUAAAAAAUACAGGGACAAGCCCACUGCUCAUAUAAUAUGAUUAAACCUUGUUUAGGGGCAUGAGGCAAACAGAGUUACUUUCAAAUGUUAAAGAUGCACUCUCACACUUUGGAUGUUUUGACAACUGUUUUCAUUUUUAGCUCUACUGGCCAAAGGCCAGAAGAGCUUAUGCGAUGGUAAUGUGUACGUAGUAUGUGCGUCUGUAAACAAUCCUCGUUUACAUGAUACAGCCUACAGUUCCUUUCGAAAACCAGCCAGAUCCGCCCAUGUAUGCCUAGUUUAUGGGCCUUGAUAGUAUACAAAAAUCAGUGUGUCAGUAGGCAAUUGCUCGUUAACAUGAU